rnacentral:rRNA from 1 species
AUUGAACGCUGGCGGCAUGCUUUACACAUGCAAGUCGAACGGUAACAGGCCGCAAGGUGCUGACGAGUGGCGAACGGGUGAGUAAUGCAUCGGAACGUGCCCAGUCGUGGGGGAUAACUACUCGAAAGAGUAGCUAACACCGCAUACGAUCUAUGGAUGAAAGCGGGGGACCGUAAGGCCUCGCGCGAUUGGAGCGGCCGAUGUCAGAUUAGGUAGUUGGUGGGGUAAAGGCUCACCAAGCCAACGAUCUGUAGCUGGUCUGAGAGGACGACCAGCCACACUGGGACUGAGACACGGCCCAGACUCCUACGGGAGGCAGCAGUGGGGAAUUUUGGACAAUGGGCGCAAGCCUGAUCCAGCAAUGCCGCGUGCAGGAAGAAGGCCUUCGGGUUGUAAACUGCUUUUGUACGGAACGAAACGGCUCUGGUUAAUACCCGGGGCUAAUGACGGUACCGUAAGAAUAAGCACCGGCUAACUACGCG